GCACAACGCGAAGAACCUUACCUACUCUUGACAUCUAGCGAAGAUUGCAGAGAUGCAGUUGUGCCUUCGGGAACGCUAAGACGGGUGCUGCAUGGCUGUCGUCAGCUCGUGUUGUGAAAUGUUGGGUUAAGUCCCGCAACGAGCGCAACCCUUAUCCUUAGUUACCAGCACGUUAUGGUGGGCACUCUAAGGAGACUGCCGGUGACAAACCGGAGGAAGGUGGGGAUGACGUCAAGUCAUCAUGGCCUUUAUGGCCAGGGCUACACACGUGCUACAAUGGCAGGUACAGAGGGAAGCCAACCGGCGACGGGGAGCUAAUCCCAGAAAGCCUGUCUUAGUCCGGAUUGCAGUCUGCAACUCGACUGCAUGAAGUUGGAAUCGCUAGUAAUCGCAGAUCAGCAUUGCUGCGGUGAAUACGUUCCCGGGUCUUGUACACACCG
rnacentral:rRNA from 1 species